rnacentral:snoRNA from 1 species
AAAAAAGCAGAGACCUGUACUUUUUCCUUGUGAUCUGGACUCUUGUAAACCUCAGGCAAAUUGUUUGCACCAUUCUUGGGUGAACCUUUGGAGGCUAUCCUUGUGACUGAAGGUUCAAUAAAUGAUGUUACAUUA